rnacentral:lncRNA from 1 species
GGUGGCGCCACUAGGAUGAUGAUGGAUAGGGAGAGGUGGUGGUGGAGGAUGAAUUUGCCGAGCUCCACCAGCUGGCCCAUUCUUGGAGAUGGGUAGAGGACUAUCAUCUUCAACUUCACUUAAUUCAUCUCAUGCAUGCUACUAAUCAAGAUCACUACUGCUCAAUGUUUGAAGACAAUAAUGACCACAAUUUCACCUACCUUGGCAUAUAAAAAUAUACCAGAAAUAUGUUAGUUAGCUUCUUCAUAGCAGACUCAGUUAGAGUAGCAAACCAUUUUAAUGAGG